UUACCAGAUGUUCGAUGUAGCGUUAUAUGGUCAUUAGAGAAUAUAAUGCCUAUUUUUGGCUCUGCCAUGACUUUUUAAGGUGAUAAAGAACCAAGUAACGUUAACGUAUGUCAGCCUAGCCAACUGCUUGGGGCGCCGUUCGUUCGUGGACGGUUCAACGUCAACUAACGGUUACAGCACUGAAGACGGAGCACAUUUCGGGGAUACAAAGAAAGUUUACAGCUUGAAGAGCAGCCCUGCGCAGACCUCCAGACCUGCAGUACAAUUGUAAACAAAUCAUGGUAUUAAUGGGGAUCGAAAUGAGCCAUCCAUCUGAGGCGGUCUGUCGGCCUGCUCCUGACAGCAGCAUGAUGCCUGCACGGCCCUUAAAGAGCCAUCCAGAAAGCCCGGGCAAAUGGUGCCACUGCUCACGUUUGCACACCAUUAAAUACAUGCACGUAGCUGUGUCAGACAGCCUGACGCUCCAGGUGUGCUCUACACUAUAGUUCCUGACAGGACUUCACGCUCGCAUAGGAGAUGGGGCAAGAAGUGGCUGGACGCAUGGUGAGAGUCUGACAUUCCGCUUGUUCAUCCUGCGUCAACUACAUACACAAAUACAGGAUGUCAUUUCACAGCCGCCGCUUUAACACACUCACACUUUUAAAUGAGCGUA